rnacentral:rRNA from 1 species
GACGGAGGAUGCAAGUGUUAUCCGGAAUCACUGGGCGUAAAGCGUCUGUAGGUGGUUCGAAAGUCCACUGUUAAAAUUGAGGCUUAACUUCAAAGAUGCCGUGGAAACUUCAACUAGAGUAUGGUAGGGUAGAGGGAAUUCCAGUGGAGCGGUGAAAUGCGUAGAGAUCGGGAGGAACACCAAAGGCGAAGCACUCUGCUGGGCCGCAACUGACACUGAGAGACGAAAGCGAGGGAGCAAAUGGG